UACGUAGGGUGCAAGCGUUGUCCGGAAUUAUUGGGCGUAAAGAGCUCGUAGGCGGUCUGUCGCGUCUGGUGUGAAAAUCCAGGGCUUAACCCUGGACCUGCAUCGGGUACGGGCAGACUAGAGUGCGGUAGGGGAGAUCGGAAUUCCUGGUGUAGCGGUGAAAUGCGCAGAUAUCAGGAGGAACACCGGUGGCGAAGGCGGAUCUCUGGGCCUUACCUGACGCUCAGGCGCGAAAGCUAGGGGAGCGAACAGG
rnacentral:rRNA from 1 species